CAGUGUUGAACAUUCCCCAGGGCAGCAGGCUGGGUUCUGCUUGUCUAACCCAGAUUCUCCCAUGCCCUGACCAACCUGAAGGAGAGAGUAGGUUGAUCAUGAGCUAAGAGAAUUUGGAGUAGACAUGUUGGACCAAGCUUCCGGGAGCUGGAGAAGGGCAGAAGACGACCUUUGCAAAAGCAGUAAUGGCUCUUAGUCACGGAGUCAACUCUUCAGUACCUGCCCCCUUUUUUUUAAUGCCUAUGGUUAAAUCUAUUUUAGAACCUU